rnacentral:lncRNA from 1 species
CAGUCGUGCAGUGACCGUGGUAGCGUGGAGCCAGCCGGAUGUGCACUCAAAUAAAAAGGUCAGAGCAGAGACGGACGGCGGCCUGAGAGGGCAGCAGAUUCGCGCUAACAGAGCAGGUCAAGCAGGGCCUCCUCGCCUUGCUCUUCCGCUUCAGCAUAUACGUCUCCAAGCUCAGGAAAUGCAGUUACAUCAAAUGUCUAAAUUGGAUGGAAAGAAAUUCUGUGUGCUCCCAGGAUUCCAGUUCCUUACCGGAGGUUGGUGCCGUCUGAGUCUGAAAAGCUGCCCUCUUGCCGUGUUCAUGCUUUGGUAGAACACCUUCAGAGCCUUGGCAAGCUCUCGGUCAGAGCCGGCUUGCUGUGUGCACAUUUGGCUCAUCUCCCCGGCGGAUGGCAGUUGCGCAGUCAUCCCGCUGAUCUUCAGAGUGUUGGAAGGCUUCGGGGCUGAGGUGGAAAAAGGAUGUGGCCUUCACCUGUGACCAUGAGGCCCAGCUGAGAGCAGCUCAGCUCGGUGCAGCCUUCUGUAAUGGGGAGAGACACAGUCAAAGAAAGAAACAUCCCAGUCGCCCAGCUCCAGUGUCAGCUUCAUGCAGUAGGCCAGCGACUGGAGCCAGAUGUGAGCUGAGCCCAAGCGGACGACCUCGACAGGAUCCCAGAAAGGGUCGUCAUCUCGAGCCACAGGGCCGUGAUCUCCAUCUAGAAAGCGCUGGUAAAGUUCCUGCAUUAGGAAUUUCCUAUUGAUGAACUUGGCUUUUGACCAUAUCCACACCUGGAAACACAGAGGGGUCCACACCCAGUGCACAGCAGAUCCAGGACAACAGCCUGCCGCUGUCUUCCUCCUCACUGGGUGAGGACAGGGCCUCUGUCAGCACUGGCUCUGGAGAGGAAACAAACCUGAAGCCACAGGAGGAGGGAUUCCAGAGGGAUUCCAGGUAGGUCGUUUUUAGACCAUAAAUAUCAGGUAAAACUAGCAACUCCUUUUCUGAGCAACUGGAAAAGCAAAAGCAAAAAUCAG